rnacentral:lncRNA from 1 species
GAUGUAACGCGUCUUCUGAUUUGCUGACGUUAUUUUGUUAUGAGCCCAUCGACAAAAUUUAGUCAUGUGACCGUGACGUCGUCAACGUUUUUCAUGGUUUUCUACGGUUUAAAAUGGAAUUUAGAAUUAAAUUAUAAGAAAUGACUAAUAUUUUUUCUGUCUAUUCGAAAUAACAUAAAAAAUGUGUUGCACACUGUUAAAUAACCCGCUACGCGAGUUAUUCAGUGUGCACCAAAUUUGUUAUGUUAUUUCUUCAUAGACAGAAAAAAUAUUACAGUCAUUCCUUAA